GACGAACGCUGGCGGCGUGCCUAAUACAUGCAAGUCGAACGCAGUGGGGACGGGUGAGUAACACGUGGGUAACCUCCCAUCAGAGGGGAUAACACUUGGAAACAGGUGCUAAACCGCUACUGAUGGAUGGACCCGCGGUGCAUUAGCUAGUGGGGGAGGUACCGGCUCACAAAGGCCACGAUGCAUAGGCGACCGGAGAGGGUGACCGGCCACACUGGGACGGAGAUACGGCCCAGACUCCUACGGGAGGCAGCAGUAGGGAAUCUUCGGCAAUGGACGAAAGUCUGACCGAGCAAAGCCGCGGGAGUGAAGAAGGUUUUCGGAUCGUAAAACUCUGUUGUUAGAGAAGCGGUAUCUAACCAGAAAGCCACGGCUAACUACGUGCCAGCAGCCGCGGUAAUUC
rnacentral:rRNA from 1 species